GUCAGGAUGGCCGAGCGGUCGAAGGCGCUGCGUUCAGGUCGCAGUCCACUUGCGUGGGCGUUGGUUCGAAUCCCACUUCUGACA